UGCUAUUGGGAAGAGUACAUGAAGAAGGAGAAGAGAAAGCAUUCUAGAAAGUGCUGUGCAAAUCUCAAACAUCAUUCAUAAUUUGCCUACUGCCUGGACAGAUGCUGCCUCCCGGCGGCCCACCAUUUUCUGGGAGUUGCCAGCAUCAGUGGAUGACGGAUGUUCACAUGGGGAUGGAAUGCUGCAUUGCUGAGGAGCAGAUUCCAGUUUCCAUGCAGCAUUUGGAUAUGAUCCAGCCUAUUUCAGAGAGAAGCAUAAUGAAACGUCUGCAAGAUGGCAGGAGUGCAAGACAAAAGCCAGCAGCAUGAGGUAAUGCAGGCGGCCCUCAGUCCCAGGAAUUCACUAUCUGAGGAGUCGCAGGAAAACUUGCUUCUAGUAGUGAAAGGGUACUUGGUUGAUGGCAUCAGAAAUGACUCUGACUAAUAAAGGGGAGAAGAAAUCAAGAAACAUAUUGGAAGGAUGGUAAUAGCCCACGGAAUUGAAGCAAAAGAUGAGUACUUGAAAUAAGAAGGACUAGAACCUGGGCAGAGCUGGAGAAAUAAUGGGCAUUGUCGUGGGGCAUCUUUGGGAAUAAUUUAUUCCAAUUGUUUUCUCUCUUUGAAUCCCUCUGCACAAAAUCUGAAUCUUGGGUGGGGGUGAGGAGCAUCUGGAUUGCUUUACCUCCCCUUGAUCAGGGCAGGGGAUGGCGUUUUGAAGGACAGACAGCUCUGUCAAAGCCAUCAGCCAGGAGGGGGGUGGGUUCUACACAGGAAACGCAAGUAGUUGUUUUCAAAACCAAGGAGGUGAGUUUUGAGUGAACAACAGCAAUAGAUGUCACCUCCAGACAGCUUGAAGUGCUCUGGUGGUUUCAGAAUGGGGAACAGUUUUUUUCUGUUCACUUUUACCAUAAAUUUCAGGGUUUCCAUAAAAAUUGGUCAAGGCUUAAGCAUAAGGGUGUUUGGGAACUGGGUAAUAAACACUAGAGGAGAGAGACAAUGGGUAGAGGUUGCAAUGUCUCUGAAGUCUCCCUUUGAGAUUCAUGACUUAAUUUUCAUUCUGAGGCAUAAAAAGGUGAGUGAUAUCUCAUACAACUAGUUCUGAGUUUCUAAAAGAAACGUACAUAAUGUUGUACACAGUAGGAAUGUAAUAUGGUAGAAAUUGCCUACACUUUUGAAUUGGAAGGGCCCCUAUAGUUGAGGCUUUUUUUUCUUCCAAUUCUUUCCUGUAUAAUAUGGAAAUAAUAUUGAUCUCAUAGAGUUGCUAUAAGGUAUGUGAAGCUUAUGGUGCAUAUUAAGCCCUUAGUAAAUACUAGCUUCCUUCUCUCCUACUGUGUGUUUGUGUACACAUUUCUCUUUUAUAUGAAUCAUAUGUACGAAUGUAAUUUUUCUUUCUCUGUAAUGAGUUGAAAACCAAUUUUCUUCCCUUCAAUUUUAUUUUUCUAAUUUGGAGCUAAUAUUAGUAACUAGAACAAAUAGCACACAAAUCUGUCUCUUCUAAGGCCCAUAUUACAAAGACACAAUCCUCUUUUCCUUAAUUGUAGAUGAGGCAAUUUAUUUACCUGCUUGUCUUAAACAUCUCAUACAGCAGUAGUCCACUAUAGUUUAAAGGCAAAAGGAAAUCCUCCGGGGAUCUGAAUCACAGUGAGAAAUAAAUUCAUCUCGUUAUGAGUGCUUGGUUGAGGAAAGUUAAGGAAAUGUCCCAGAACACCUUAAUUGCAAUGAAUGAUAGUAGUAUGUCAUUCAUUGCAAUUUAAGUAUUCUCACAUAUUUCUUUUACUUUGCUCAACCUAUUCCUCAUAUUGAAAUGACUCGAUGGAGUGAGUCUUCCUAAUUUUUAAUGAGGCUGCAAGUAGGAAUUGGAAAUAAACAAGAGGCUGUUUUAGGGAGGCAUUGAGAGGGAGGAGAAGAUGGAAAUAUUCUUGGAACAGGUAAGAGGGAAAAGUCAUCCUGGAGAAUAUAGUAAACAAAAUUCCCCUGCCGGCCCCAGCCCAAGGGGGAGAGUGACUCAGGGUACCCAGACCCAGACACCCAUAACAGGGCUUCAUCGUUAAACAGAAUAGAACUGGAAUUCCAGUUUUGCCUCUGAUUUUCAUUGUUCUCAUCAUUGUCCUUGUUACAGUCCUUGUUUACCUUUUGGAGUUUGGGAGCAUUAUGAAGCGGAAAUCGCCUGGCCUGCAGUAAGCAAUGCACACCAGCUCUCUUCCCCUCUGGUAUUAUCCUGAGACUAUCACAAUCUUUUCGUACCUUGUAGCCACAUCAGAAGCUUAAGACCCCCGGCUUCAGACACUGUUCAGGCGAGACCCUGUGAAUUCGUAGGAGCCUGGCUCCAGGCCUAGGUCCUACGUGUGGUACUUCUGGUCUGAGCACAGGCGUUACAGAGCUUUUCCUGGCAGGUCUCUCGGGGGAGCGGCCCUCCCCGCACCUGGCUUGGGGCCCAGCCCCUGCGCUGGGGUCUCUGGAGAGCAGAGCAGCCACGGCUCAGGCCUCCCCCCUCUACCCCCCAAGCUCACCCGCGUAUCUGCAUUCGGAAGCCUCCUAAUCAGGGGUCACGACUGGGACAGUUUUUAGGCCCCCUACCAAGAAGUUCCUCACUGGGGGCCCUUGACUGAAAGACUUCUCUACUCUCACUUACUACUUUUUAAUUCCUAUUCCUUCUCUUCUCCCUCCCCUGAGGGAGACGCUGAGCAGCGGGAAGCCAGCACCUUCCCUUCUCCAUGCCUCGUGCCUUUACUGUCGCAGGGAGUGGGCAAAGGCGUGGUUAUCACUUUGAGUUCGGCUCGGUGUCUUGACUGACCAUCUCAACGCCUGGCAAUUCGACACAAACCAAGGGACUCCUGAAAUCUCUUUUCCUUCAGAAGUUCACAUUUCUUCAGAAGUAACCAUUAAGGGGUUAUCUGCAUGGAAUAACCUGAGCAUCUUUAGGCAGAGGUCUCCUAGGGACCUGGUUAAUUCCAGGGAGCUCCCAGUCACCCUUGUCCUCAGUACUUCACGUGGACCCCUCACCUGGUCAGUAGUCUGAUUUUAGUUCUAUUAAGCAAUUGGGAAACGGGUGAACACACUCCAAUUAAAUUCUGGCUUUCUCUGCCAAACAGUCCUGCCACCAUGGUCACCUGAGGCCUGGAGUGUUACUCAGACUAUUGAACUCCUGUUGCAGCAGAAACCCCAUCAUCAGAUGGGCGACAGCCAUGACCAUGUGCCCAGCUGGGGGUGCCAAGAACUGAUAGAGGAAAUUGAGAAAUGUGUUGAAGCAUUGCAGGCUGCGGCAGAAGAGAGCUCCACCUAACCUCUCUGGUCCAGAUGAACCCUCACACACACUUGUAAUCACCUACAGAUAUGUAGAUGGACCACCUAUCUCCACCCCUUGAAACACCUAUUGAUAUGCAGAUGCACUAAAGCCAGGAGCUGUGGGAACUACCAACAAGGAGUUGAGACACUGAGAUGUUUGGCGAGAAGCAGCACUUACUAGUGCCGGCCGGGGCUCAGCAGAUUCCUAUCCAACGGCUGAGCCCCGAGUGCAGCGGAGGCAUGCCUUUUACAUAUUCACAACGAGGUUACGGGGGAGUCAGCAUCCAGGAACCAUUGCAGUGGGAGCUAUUCGAUCACUAUAGGUGUAUUCAGGAUGCUAGUUAUAUUUUAACCUCUCUGUAAAGGUCACCCGGAUACCCUAUUACAAACUAAUGGGCCUCUGUGGGUAAAAUUGUAACAUUUCUAGAGAAUCUCUCCUGGCUUUAGUGCAUUUGCAUAUCCU